GGGGGGGGGGUGCGGCGGGCUGCAGGUCAGAGGGUGCUGGGAGCUGGCCCUACCUAGCUGGGCCUGUGCUGAUGCCUGUAGAGCUGAGGUCUAGGGAGCAGGUCCGCUCCCCUGCUAUCCCAGAUGUGGGCGCUUCCCUUCUUCCUCACAGACUGCACCUCAGGUUUACUCUUAGCCUGACAUGGUUCGGAGCUUGCUCUUCCAUGGCCGCCACCAUGUGGGCCCUACUUGCUGCUGUGGGGAACAGAUCAGCCCUGGCCACUUCUGGUGCCUUCUGUUCCCUCUCAAACAUACAGUGUGACUGAAAGGAAAGGUGGUCACUCUCUUGGUGGGGAUGCCCACCUGGUGGGCUCAGCUGGAGGAUGCGUGAACGCGGCUGGUGGCUUUCCAGAGUGUCAACUGGCCCCGCCUCUGUCCUCUUAGUCACAGGGUCUUUUAGGUCCCUUUUAGUCCCAUUCCAGCUCUGGCCUCCCUCCAGGCAGGCCCAGGAAGACAGAGCCUGCUGAGGGUAAAGGUGUGGGAGAUGUGACCUCCCCGAGCUGCCCUGCCGCCCUGGUAUAGGGGGUUAGCCUCCCCAGGAACCACCCCCCCUUAUGUAAUCUGCACAUCACACAGGCGUGACUCCAGGUGCCCGUGGGAGGUAGUAACGCGGGGGUGAGCUCAGGGGCGCAAACAAGCCUCCAAGUUUCCUUGGGUGCCUCUCCUCUUGUUACAUUUCAGCGUCAUCCCGCGUCUGCCAGCUCGGUCACCCACUUGCCUAUUAGAAUAUAUUAACUGACAAUGCAGACUUAAAUAACUUGGGCAGGUGACAGGCUGCAGUGAGGAGCCCUCUGCACCGAACCCUUCCGCAGCAGGCCAAGUGAGUUCAGAGGAGGUGUUUUGGUGGGCAGGGACGGGCAGGGUGCAGCCUGCAGUCUGAGCACACCCAACACCAAGUCUGAAGCGUUGAGAUACGGGUGCCCGUGGCAACAAGGGAAGCCCACCCCAUGGCAGGCACACCCAUGCCUUCUGUACACACCCAGCUGGAGGUAGGAUUGUGCCGUAAGUGAAUAAGAAAACUGAACAGUGGUAUUAUCUGUCAUCAGAGCAUGGCUGGUCUGUGAUGACAGCUCUAGCCGCAGCAGCAGCAGCCUAGGCACGGGCAGUCUCUGCUAGGCUCCCUUGCUCUGUAGAGUACCUUCCUGUAGACCCGGGUGGUCACUCAGCUUCCCGGGGCGGGGGUGGCGGGGGUGGGGGAGAUAAAAACCAACCCUUGCUUCCUGCUCACUCUGCAUACUCCCCUCCCCACUUUGCUCUCUUAUCGCUCUGCCUCUUAAACUAAGUUGCCUCGAAGGUGUCUAAAGGUGUUUUUCAGGUUACAGCAAAGGAGAUAGUCUUCCAGACUCUGGAGUCAAAAGACACCCAGCCCUGAGCCCUGGUGUGCUCCACCGGGUCCGUCCCCACCACACCCCCAUCCCCAGCUGGUCCUGCCGGAGUGAGAAGCCCAGACAUGUACUGCUUCACAUGCUCACAGAUGGCUUCCCUGCUCAGGGCUGGCUGCUGCUAAUUUUGGCUGCUGGAGGCUCCGUGUGCGCUCUCUCUUUUUUUAAUUCCAUGUUUAUUUAAAGCCAGAUUUUGAAAUCUUGUCUUCAACUCUGAAAUCUGAAAUUGUCUUGCUGCAGAUCUUACCCCUAACCACCAUCCCCCCACGCUCCCCCCCCCACACACACAUAUUGCACAAAGUUUAGGGAGUUUUGAUGAACAACUGGCCAGGGUCUCUUUACAGCAAUCCUGUCGUGUCAGCACAGAAGACAGGAGGGUACCCUACCUCACCCCCUCCAACCCCCGUUCAUGCCUGGUGUUUCCAUGUAAAUGGGGAUGCUGUGCAGAGAGUCUGAUUAGAGGCUACCCUGCUUGGUGCUGCAGGAGGAGCGGACCCGGACAGGACUGGCUCAUUGAUCUCAGUCCUGUAACGGGACCUGGUGUGGCCCAGGUAUCUAGGACCCUAGUGCCAAUCCCCCAACUGGCUCCUCUUACCCAUGAAAGCCUUAGAGGCUCUUCCUGCUCUCUGGGGAAUCAAGUCCACCUAGAGGGGACCUUCCUGGCUUAGGAGAAAAUGUAUGUCCAGCUUGCUGGUAUGUUGACACAACACUGGGCUGCUCUCAGGACACACACAGUGGAACUCUGUCCUCUCACUCUGGGACCCAGAAGAGUCGCUGGCAUGGUGAGUGCUCCAGAGGCACCAGGGCUACACCCCCAUUGCAUGACAUGCAGCUGCCCACCUGCCCUUCUGCCCUCCCACAGCUGCUCUGGGAUGUGCUAGAAGGACUUUGGUGAAGAAUGACCUCGAGGGAGCUGGUCAGGAGCUGAGGUAUAACCGGUUCCAGGAGGAAUGCCUGCACCCGGAAGCAGUGGGGCGGACCUAAGGCACCAACUGGGUUCCCACACCAACCUCUGCCUCUUCCCCACCAGGCCGAGAAAAGGAAGGGUGCCACUUCCACCCUGAGCCAUCUGCAAACCCUGCCAGGCAGGGCCUUUCUAACAUGGAGAGUGUGAAGGGCUGGGACGGUGUUCCUGGCACCUCUGGUCAGACAGGAAGGUGGCUGUGAGAAAAACGAGUGGAGUGUUAAGCUUUGGAAUGUCAUUUCUCCAGCAAGCUCACUUCUCUCAAGGUUGAGAGACAGAGAUCUUUGUAGAGAAGUGUAGAAAACUAGCUGUCCCCCCUGUCCCUGCCAGGAAACUAUGACUCUAAAAGAAUAUGCGAGACAUUUCACCCCCUGUCCAACCAAAGGUCGGCUGAACAGCCUUUCCAAAUGUCACACUGCAACCGCUGCUGGCAGGAAAUCGGGGCUGCCAAAGUGCCCCAGGAUCUGCUGUUGACUCUUACUUCAAGCUGGAGGGUUUGGGGUUUUUGUUUGUUUGUUUGUUUUAUUUUGUUUUCCUGCAGGAGCUAACAAAAUUCUUAAUGCACAGCCUGAGGAGUUGGCUUUCUGAGCCUUGGAGCUGGUGGUGCAGGACUCUGUGUUGUUUUUCCUGCCUUCCUGGGCUCCAAGAGGCCCCAAAGAGAAAGCCCCAUGCUCAGGAUCCAAGGUCAGACGCUUAGGUAGAACAGUUAGGGGACAUUGGAAUUAAACCAUGGUACCUGACAGUUUCCUCAGACAGGCCGUGGGUCAGGUAUCCGCAUCCACUGUUGCUGUUAACCUGGGAGCAGAUGGAGCAGAGCCCACCCAGCUCCUGGCUCCUGGGCAUCCAGCUUGGCUGCUUUUCCCCAGGGCCGCCCUCGUGCUUUGGGUUUUACAAUAGACUGCCACUUCUGGGGCGCUUGCCUAGCAGGGGGCUGGAGGACUCCCUGAAUGCAGCUCCCUCAUCUCGAGGGUUCCCUUCACUGCCCCCUGGUGGAACGUCGACGAAAGGAGACCUGCCGCAGGGCAGGUAAGCGUCGCCAGCUGAGGUGGAAGUGGGACCAGCGGGAGGCUGCGGGCCAGCAGGGGGAGUGCACGGUUCGCGAGACCAGGCUGUACCUAGGAAGGGAGGGGCCCAGCAAUCACAGACUCUUGCCUUGCCCUGUCUCCAGCGGGAAGAAUAAGAUCCUCCCUUCAGGUAGAGGGAGGAAGAGGAGGCAGACAGCUGCUGCAGUGGGCUCUGCUGGAGCCUUUAGAGGGGACGUGAGGGCCGGCCGUACAUUCGCCUGUAAGGCUAUGUACUAUCAACUUCUAGGUCAUUCUUUUCUCUUUUUCCCCUGGGUGUUGUUGCUGUUUUGGAUUUUGGUUAGUUGGUUGCUCCUCUGUUCUUGAGAGAGGCUCUCAUGUAGCCCAGACUGGCCUCAAACUUCAGGACGCUGAGAGGCAUAGACCAACACUCUCCGGCUGAACCACAUGCACAGCCCAGAACUGAUCUUUGCGGUAACCCUUGUACUUGCAAGGAUCUGGCUGCCAUUUUACCCUCUCUUUGGGGGACCCGCGAGGUUGCCGGCUCCCUUAGAUCCUCCUGGACCCACCUUUCCCCCGGUUAUUUUACACCGUAGCCUGUCUGGUGAACACGCAACACGGGAGCUACCGAUUUUAGUUCUGGUUUCCCUGGUGGCUGAUGAGGAGCCUGUCAUCCCCUUCUUUCCUGGGUCCCUGUUGUCGAUGACAAUGACGAUGAUGACAACGAUUUUACCCCACUGAGAACUUCACAUGUGAACGCUGCACAUACAUGACUCCUAAUGCAUGUUCCUCCCAACUCUACCCACACCCCUCACAUCUGUGAUCUUUAGUUACUAUUGUCACAUCUGUUUAAUGUGUGUAUGAACACAUGUGCGCACACACACAAAUAACCCACGAGUUCAUUCUGCUUCGAUUCUAUGUACAUAAGUCCCCGCCGGCCACUUGGAACUGGACAAGAGCCUCCUCUUUUUCAAAAGGAGCCACAGCCUCUACUCCAGUGAGCUAUGUGGGAGGGAGCCUGCAGGUGCCUGGAGACAACCAGCUUGCACCUGGCUGCAGCUCACAGUCUCCACUCUUGACGAAGCGAGACAGAUGCCCACUGACGCAGACACGUGACAGAUCUGAGUCACCAUCUGUGGGUUGUGGCUCCUCACCAGCCCGGCUUGCAGCCUUUAAGUUUGCCACAGUCUGGCCUCGGGCCGAGUCUCCAUCAUCACCUCGGCCGUUUUCCCUGCUGUCUCCUCUCCUUAAGCAGAAACAUGAUGCGAAUGGGUUCCAGAUCUGUACCUGCUGUCACCCCUGCACACACUCCCAGAGCUGAUAUCACAGGUUAGAUCCCGGUGGUACCAGGCCAGAGGCCCCCACACUUCCACCUGUUGGCCACUACAGGGCUUUGCAAAUAAAGUUUUGUUGUUAUUGUUGUUUUAA
rnacentral:sRNA from 1 species